GGAAGCAGCUUGCUGCUUUGCUGACGAGUGGCGGACGGGUGAGUAAUGUCUGGGAAACUGCCUGAUGGAGGGGGAUAACUACUGGAAACGGUAGCUAAUACCGCAUAACGUCGCAAGACCAAAGAGGGGGACCUUCGGGCCUCUUGCCAUCGGAUGUGCCCAGAUGGGAUUAGCUAGUAGGUGGGGUAAAGGCUCACCUAGGCGACGAUCCCUAGCUGGUCUGAGAGGAUGACCAGCCACACUGGAACUGAGACACGGUCCAGACUCCUACGGGAGGCAGCAGUGGGGAAUAUUGCACAAUGGGCGCAAGCCUGAUGCAGCCAUGCCGCGUGUAUGAAGAAGGCCUUCGGGUUGUAAAGUACUUUCAGCGGGGAGGAAGGGAGUAAAGUUAAUACCUUUGCUCAUUGACGUUACCCGCAGAAGAAGCACCGGCUAACUCCGUGCCAGCAGCCGCGGUAAUACGGAGGGUGCAAGCGUUAAUCGGAAUUACUGGGCGUAAAGCGCACGCAGGCGGUUUGUUAAGUCAGAUGUGAAAUCCCCGGGCUCAACCUGGGAACUGCAUCUGAUACUGGCAAGCUUGAGUCUCGUAGAGGGGGGUAGAAUUCCAGGUGUAGCGGUGAAAUGCGUAGAGAUCUGGAGGAAUACCGGUGGCGAAGGCGGCCCCCUGGACGAAGACUGACGCUCAGGUGCGAAAGCGUGGGGAGCAAACAGGAUUAGAUACGU
rnacentral:rRNA from 1 species